rnacentral:rRNA from 1 species
GUGUGCAGUUGUGGGAUGGAACUGCCUUGAGUUGAUCUGGCUCAUGACGAACGUGGGCGGCGCGCUUACACAUGCAAGUCGAGCGAGAACCAGUCCUUCGGGACUGGGGAAAGCGGCGAACGGGUGAGUAUCACGUGGGUAAUCUGCCCUCGGCACUGGGAUAGCCCGGGGAAACCCGGAUUAAUACCGGAUAGCCUCUCGAGCCUUCGGGCUCGUCAGAAAAGGUGGCUUCGGCUUCCGGCUGAGGAUGAGCCCGCGGCGGAUUAGCUUGUUGGUGGGGUAAUGGCCCACCAAGGCGACGAUCCGUAGCAGGUCUGAGAGGACGAUCAGCCACACUGGGACUGGGACACGGCCCAGACUCCUACGGGAGGCAGCAGUGGGGAAUCUUGCGCAAUGGGCGAAAGCCUGACGCAGCGACGCCGCGUGCGGGAAGAAGGCCUUCGGGUUGUAAACCGCUUUCAGGAGGGACGAAGCCACUCGGGUUAAUAGCUCAGAGGGUGACGGUACCUCCAGAAGAAGCCCCGGCUAACUACGUGCCAGCAGCCGCGGUAAUACGUAGGGGGCAAGCGUUGUCCGGAUUUAUUGGGCGUAAAGAGCGUGUAGGCGGCCAGGUAGGUCAGCUGUGAAAACUCGAGGCUCAACCUCGAGAUGUCGGCUGAAACCAUCUGGCUAGAGUCCGGAAGAGGAGAAUGGAAUUCCCGGUGUAGCGGUGAAAUGCGCAGAUAUCGGGAAGAACACCCGUGGCGAAGGCGGUUCUCUGGGACGGUACUGACGCUGAGACGCGAAAGCGUGGGGAGCGAACAGGAUUAGAUACCCUGGUAGUCCACGCCGUAAACGAUGGGAACUAGGUGUGGGCGGUGUCGACUCCGUCCGUGCCGAAGCUAACGCAUUAAGUUCCCCGCCUGGGGAGUACGGCCGCAAGGCUAAAACUCAAAGGAAUUGACGGGGACCCGCACAAGCGGUGGAGCAUGUGGUUUAAUUCGACGCAACGCGAAGAACCUUACCUGGGCUAGAAUGCCUCUGACAGCCCCAGAGAUGGGGUCUCCUGGGUAAAACCAGGCAGAGUGCAAGGUGCUGCAUGGCUGUCGUCAGCUCGUGUCGUGAGAUGUUGGGUUAAGUCCCGCAACGAGCGCAACCCUUAUCAAUAGUUGCCAGCGGUUCGGCCGGGCACUCUAUUGAGACUGCCGUUGACAAAACGGAGGAAGGUGGGGAUGACGUCAAGUCCUCAUGGCCUUUAUGUCCAGGGCUACACACGUGCUACAAUGGCCGGUACAAAGCGCUGCAAAAGAGCAAUCUGGAGCCAAUCGCAAAAAGCCGGUCUCAGUUCGGAUUGGAGUCUGCAACUCGACUCCAUGAAGUUGGAAUCGCUAGUAAUCGCAGAUCAGCAUGCUGCGGUGAUACAUCCCCCGGUCUUGCACA